rnacentral:rRNA from 1 species
UGGGGAAUAUUGGACAAUGGGCGAAAGCCUGAUCCAGCCAUGCCGCGUGUGUGAAGAAGGUCUUCGGAUUGUAAAGCACUUUAAGUUGGGAGGAAGGGCAGUAAGCGAAUACCUUGCUGUUUUGACGUUACCGACAGAAUAAGCACCGGCUAACUCUGUGCCAGCAGCCGCGGUAAUACAGAGGGUGCAAGCGUUAAUCGGAAUUACUGGGCGUAAAGCGCGCGUAGGUGGUUCGUUAAGUUGAAUGUGAAAGCCCCGGGCUCAACCUGGGAACUGCAUCCAAAACUGGCGAGCUAGAGUAGGGCAGAGGGUGGUGGAAUUUCCUGUGUAGCGGUGAAAUGCGUAGAUAUAGGAAGGAACACCAGUGGCGAAGGCGACCACCUGGGAUCAUACUGACACUGAGGUGCGAAAGCGUGGGGAUCAAACAGG